UACGUAGGGACCAAGCGUUGUUCGGAUUUACUGGGCGUAAAGGGCGCGUAGGCGGCGUGGUAAGCCACUUGUGAAAUCUCUGAGCUUAACUCAGAACGGCCAAGUGAUACUGCUGUGCUAGAGUGCAGAAGGGGCAAUCGGAAUUCUUGGUGUAGCGGUGAAAUGCGUAGAUAUCAAGAGGAACACCUGAGGUGAAGACGGGUUGCUGGGCUGACACUGACGCUGAGGCGCGAAAGCCAGGGGAGCAAACGGG
rnacentral:rRNA from 1 species